rnacentral:lncRNA from 1 species
CAUCUCUCUGACAGUCCUCAUGUCUUCAUGCUGUUGCUGAAGAUCAUUGGAUAUGGAUGCUAAGAUGUAGCACUUUGCCUUAUUAUCUUCAUCCAUCCACUACUCAAGUGCAGCUCGUCGAUCAGUGGAUGGGUGAGCAGGUAUCAUAAGUGCUUCCUGAUCAAGGACAUGUGUAAGUUUUUCAAAAUUGAGAACAAUUCUUAGAUUUUGGAGCCAACAUUUGUAAUUGGUGUCGAUCAACUUAUUUGUAUCAAAGAUUCGAGCUAACGGGUUUGAACUCGACAUGGUUAUCUGCAAAGAGAAUAGUUUUUAGAUAAAUUUUAUACUUAUAAAAUUAUUUGUUCUAGGGACUUUGAAAACAAACAAAGGCUCCCACUAUUUUCUCGAAUAUCCCA